AGUCGAGCGGAAACGAGUUAUCUGAACCUUCGGGGAACGAUAACGGCGUCGAGCGGCGGACGGGUGAGUAAUGCCUAGGAAAUUGCCCUGAUGUGGGGGAUAACCAUUGGAAACGAUGGCUAAUACCGCAUGAUGCCUACGGGCCAAAGAGGGGGACCUUCGGGCCUCUCGCGUCAGGAUAUGCCUAGGUGGGAUUAGCUAGUUGGUGAGGUAAGGGCUCACCAAGGCGACGAUCCCUAGCUGGUCUGAGAGGAUGAUCAGCCACACUGGAACUGAGACACGGUCCAGACUCCUACGGGAGGCAGCAGUGGGGAAUAUUGCACAAUGGGCGCAAGCCUGAUGCAGCCAUGCCGCGUGUGUGAAGAAGGCCUUCGGGUUGUAAAGCACUUUCAGUCGUGAGGAAGGUGGUGUAGUUAAUAGCUGCAUUAUUUGACGUUAGCGACAGAAGAAGCACCGGCUAACUCCGUGCCAGCAGCCGCGGUAAUACGGAGGGUGCGAGCGUUAAUCGGAAUUACUGGGCGUAAAGCGCAUGCAGGUGGUUUGUUAAGUCAGAUGUGAAAGCCCGGGGCUCAACCUCGGAAUAGCAUUUGAAACUGGCAGACUAGAGUACUGUAGAGGGGGGUAGAAUUUCAGGUGUAGCGGUGAAAUGCGUAGAGAUCUGAAGGAAUACCGGUGGCGAAGGCGGCCCCCUGGACAGAUACUGACACUCAGAUGCGAAAGCGUGGGGAGCAAACAGGAUUAGAUACCCUGGUAGUCCACGCCGUAAACGAUGUCUACUUGGAGGUUGUGGCCUUGAGCCGUGGCUUUCGGAGCUAACGCGUUAAGUAGACCGCCUGGGGAGUACGGUCGCAAGAUUAAAACUCAAAUGAAUUGACGGGGGCCCGCACAAGCGGUGGAGCAUGUGGUUUAAUUCGAUGCAACGCGAAGAACCUUACCUACUCUUGACAUCCAGAGAACUUUCCAGAGAUGGAUUGGUGCCUUCGGGAACUCUGAGACAGGUGCUGCAUGGCUGUCGUCAGCUCGUGUUGUGAAAUGUUGGGUUAAGUCCCGCAACGAGCGCAACCCUUAUCCUUGUUUGCCAGCGAGUAAUGUCGGGAACUCCAGGGAGACUGCCGGUGAUAAACCGGAGGAAGGUGGGGACGACGUCAAGUCAUCAUGGCCCUUACGAGUAGGGCUACACACGUGCUACAAUGGCGCAUACAGAGGGCGGCCAACUUGCGAAAGUGAGCGAAUCCCAAAAAGUGCGUCGUAGUCCGGAUUGGAGUCUGCAACUCGACUCCAUGAAGUCGGAAUCGCUAGUAAUCGUGGAUCAGAAUGCCACGGUGAAUACGUUCCCGGGCCUUGUACACACCGCCCGUCACACCAUGGGAGUGGGCUGCAAAAGAAGUGGGUAGUUUAACCUUCGGGGGGACGCU
rnacentral:rRNA from 1 species